rnacentral:rRNA from 1 species
AUCGAACGCUGGCGGCAUGCCUAAUACAUGCAAGUCGAACGUGUGGCGGACGUGUGAGUAACGUCUGGGAAACUGCUCGAUGGAGGUGGCUAACUACUGGAAACGGUAGCUAAUACCGCAUACCAUCGGAUGUGCCCAGAUGGGAUUAGCUAGUAGGUGGGGUAACGGAUCAACUAGGCGACGAUCCCUAGCUGGUCUGAGAGGAUGACCGGCCACACUGGAACGGAGACACGGUCCAGACUCCUACGGGAGGCAGCAGUGGGGAAUAUUGCACAAUGGGCGAAAGCCUGAUGCAGCCAUGCCGCGUGUAUGAAGAAGGCCUUCGGGUUGUAAAGUACUUUCAGCGAGGAGGCGUUACUCGCAGAGAAAGCACCGGCUAACUACGUGCCAGCCGCCGCGGUAAUAC